CUUCACCGACCCCAGCCACAAAAGCCGUUCGGCCCGCUCACGCCCGUACGUCGCCAGCAGCGCCUGCGCCUC
rnacentral:antisense_RNA from 1 species